rnacentral:rRNA from 1 species
GACGAACGCUGGCGGCGUGCUUAACACAUGCAAGUCGAACGGUAAAGCGCCUCCCUUUUUGGUUGGUGUGGAUGAGAGGGGGACGGUUACGCAACACGUAAGUAACCUUCCCCCUUCUUCAGGAUAACCGCAUGAGAGUGUGGCUAAGACGGGAUAUCCUGGGUCUGGGGCAGGGUGGGUAUGGGUCGGAGGUUGUUUCGGGGGGGGCUGGGCUCGCGGCCUGUCAGGUGGUUGGGGUGGUGAUGGCCUACAAAGGCGGUGAGGGUUAGGCGGGCUGCGAGGGUGGACGGUCCGACAGGGACUGAGACACGGCCAGGACUCCGACGGGAGGCAGCAGUGGGGAAUAGUGAACAGUGGGGGCAAGUGUGAUGCAGCGACGCCGCGUGAGCGAUGGAGCCGUGCGGGUUGUGAACCUCUUUCGGUAGUGAAGCAGGCCUGCCUGUUUUGUGGGUGGGUUGACGGUAGCUGGAAAAGAAGCGCCGGCUAACUACGUG